AAAUUCUAAUAAUAAGUACCUUAAUUGCUAGAUCAAACCCAUGAAUUAGAUUAAAACAUUUGAGAAAGAAUUGAAAACCACACAAAAAUCAUGAUUUGGACGGAACCCAACCCGAAUCAAACCAAACCAAAAAUCAAAAACCUAAACAAUUCUAGAAACCCUCCCACUAUCCCAUUUUCAGCGCCGACCUCACUCUCCCCCUCUCCUCCUUUCGUUUUUCCGACCACCAGACCAGCGCCGCGCCUCCUCGCCGUCGCCCUCUCGCCGCAGCAGCUCCGGCCUCUCCUUUCCUUUCGCCCGUUUCCAGCGGCAGUCCCGCUUUCUCUCUCAAUUCCAAUCGCCGCCCUAGCCGACCAACGCCGACGUCACCUUGUGCCCGCUGCAGCUUCAUCGCCGCUUCUCUUCCUCUUCGUCUUCGUUUCUGGUUAGCGCAAUGACCACAGGCGAGCUGUGGUUCCUUCUCUUUCGAGCAACGCAGCUGCAUCUUCUUCCAUCGUCGGCAACCUUGCUCCGGUCCCUCUCUUGUCUUGUCUCGGCCUCGUUAAGCGCAGCAAGAGAAACGUUUGGGCUGUGUUACUCCGGUCGGCACAGCCUUCUCUCUGUUUCUCAUUUUUCAGUCAGCGGUAGCCUCUAGUUAGAGGGAGAACUCUUAACUUGUCAAACAUUGAUUUGAAAUUGUCUUUCCGUGGUGGUUUGCAACUGAAUCGUCCGGACCGGUCUCCUGCUUCUCCAAGUCAAAAUCCGAGAUAGAGCACAUUCUUUUCUCUAUCACUGAAGUAGAAUCCCUAUCGAUCCGGUUAAAGCUCUGCAGUCUUCUUCGCAGGGCUAUAAAAGUAGAUUUCUAAUUUCUGUAACCGUUUAAUUUAUGUACUGUUAUAUUUAAGAACUUCACUACUUCUAGUUAUUAUUGAACUCCGCAGUUGUAGGAUCUAUGUAUCUCCAAUCUUGAAUUAUUAAUAGGUAUGCUAAUCUAUGGAUGUUCUUAUUA